CAGUGUCAUUUGAGAGCGAGCCGUGGAGCCCACUCAGGAGCUGCAGGCCUCGCUGGCAUGUUAACAUGCUCCAUAAACCUUGGUUCCUCAGCAGGAAGCAUGACACUAUUAAUAGUCUCCACCUCACUGGGAAUAUAAAGUCCACGAGGGCAGGCACUGGUCUGCUUAUUGCUGUGUCCUUGGUGUAUAGAACCCAUGGGCCGCACUGAACAUAUGGUAUGCUAGGUGUUGGGUGGCUACCCCCAAACUCUCAGAGAAAAGGAAACUGAGGCACAAUGAGCUUACAUACCUUCACUUGAAGCCAGACGUGUCCAGCUCCAAAUUCCUUUUCCUGUACAACAUGCUGCCCCUAGUCAACUGGAUGGAGAUCCGGGGUCUCGGCCUCCUUUCCUUCCUGCAUAUUCUCCCAUGCAAACUGAACAAGCAGGGGAAACUUAGCCCACCUCUGAGUUCCUGAGAUCAUCAUCUGAGUUAUUCUCUCCCUUAUGGAUCUGAGAAGGAGUCCCUGGGAUUUGUUCUGAUCCAUGGAAUACAUUGUUCUAGAGACUCUUUGGACUCCAACCUGAGUCCCUGGGAAUGAUGUGAGGUAGGAGAUGUGGAAGAACAAAAAUGAAUGGUUUUGAGCCAUAAAAUAGUGAGCCUGAAAAACGAGUUUGGAAGAUGAAUGGCUUUGGGGCUUCUGGAACUUAGCAGGGGCUAUCCUGGGAAUUACUGACAUUUCUGCCUCAGACCUCUGGGAGGCCACUGGUAAACCAGAGGCCACCCCCCUCCCUUCACAGGUCCAUUGGAUUCGAAGGGGUCCUCACACGAAGCAGGAAGUCACCCUGUAUCUCAGAACUGUGGAGAUCUCAGUCCGUGGUCAUCUUGUCAUACAUGACAUGGCAGGAGCCAUGGUCCAGGGAACCAGGUGGCUGCCAACUUGCAGAACAGGCGACAAAACCCCAGCCUGGACCCCCAGACCAUGCACUUCUCCCUUUGCCCUGCUUCUCCUCUGCCUGGUACAGGUUUCCAGCCAAGCUCUGCACCGGCUUCUAUGUCUGUUUGUUUUCCUUAGAAGCUUCCUAUAGAAAGCACCAGAGUGGACUACUACAUGGCCAGUAAAGAAAAGAACAAGGUGGGGCCGUGUGCGGUGGCUCAAGCCUGUAAUCCCAGCCCUUUGGGAGGCCGAGACGGCGGAUCACGAGAUCAGGAGAUGGAGACCAUCUUGGCUAACAUGGUGAAACCCCAUCUCUACUGAAAAUACAAAUUAGCCGGGUGUGGUGGCGGGCGCCUGUAGUCCCAGCUACUCGGGAGGCUGAGGCAGGAGAAGCGUGAACCCAGGAGGCGGAGGUUGCAGUGAGCCAAGAUGACACCACUGCACUCCAGCCUGGGUGACAGAGCGAGACUCCGUCUCAAAAAAAAAAAAAAAAAGAACAAGGUAGAUUAUAACAAUGGCCAACAUACAUAUAGCACUUACUGUGUACACACUAGUCUGAAAGUUCUAUGUAUUUUAGAAUAUCUGCACAUUUAUAAUAUUAACUCAUUUGAUUUUCUCAACAAUUAUCUGGUUACUAUUACUAGAAUUUUUUUAAAUCAGGAAAGAGAUGUUAAGUAACUUGUCUAAAGUCACAUAGCUGGCGAGUCGGGGAGCUGGGCUUCAAGUCAUCUGGCCUCAGGGUCUGGGUCAAUAACCACUACCCAAAUGCCUGUAUGUACAGGCAUGGAAAGAUGCUUUUGACAUAUGAUUAAGUGGAAAAUUCAAGUAGCAGAGAAGUAGGAGCUUAUCUUUUUCAGGUAAAAAGAAGCUGCAUGUGUGCAUGCCUACGUGAAUAUAUUUUAUAUAUUUGUAAUAGUAAAGGUUCUGGAAAAAUACGUGUUCAAUCAGCAAUUCUCAACCAGGAAGGGAGGUGAGAUGGGCUACAUAAAGAGGAUUUUGGCUGGGGGCAGUGGCUCAUGCCUGUAAUCCCAAUACUUUGGUAGGCCGAGGCAGGCUUGAGCCCAGGAGUUCCAGACCAGCCUGGGCAACAUAUUAAGACCCCAUCUAUAAAA
rnacentral:lncRNA from 1 species